rnacentral:rRNA from 1 species
GAUGAACGCUGGCGGCGUGCCUAAUACAUGCAAGUCGAGCGGACGGACGAGACGCUUGCUUCUCUGAUGUUAGCGGCGGACGUGUGAGUAACACGUGGAUAACCUACCUAUAAUACUGGGAUAACUUCGGGAAACCGUAGCUAAUACCGGAUAAUAUUUUGAACCGCAUGGUGCAAAAGUGAAAGACGGUCUUGCUGUCACUUAUAGAUGGAUCCGCGCUGCAUUAGCUAGUUGGUAAGGUAACGGCUUACCAAGGCAAGUAUGCAUAGCCGACCGGAGAGAGUGAUAGGCCACACUGGAACUGAGACAGCGUCCAGAGUCCUACGGGAGGCAGCAGUAGCGAAUCGUCCGCAAUGGGCGAAAGCCUGACGGAGCAACGCCGCGUGAGUGAUGAAGGCCUUCGGAGCGUAAUACUCUGUUAUUAGGGAAGAACAUAUGUGUAAGUAACUGUGCACAUCUUGACGGUACCUAAUCAGAAAGCCACGGCUAACUACGUG